CUUCAGUUCCACGUGUAACCUAAUUCCCCCUUCCAUGUGAUGUAACAUCUUCAGGAUCUCCAGGAACUAGAGCACGGACCAUUUUUGGUGGGGGGACCAUAAUUCUGCCUACCACGAUGAACCACUGAAGGGUUUUAAGUAAGGGAACGACAAGGAUUUUUAACCUGAUGGAGCUCUUCUGCACGAUUGGACUAUUCCCCCAACAACCAAGUAUGGGCAUAAGGACUAUAAUAAUUGCCCCGUUAUGGAUGUGGAAACAGACCCUGGUCACUGCCCAGGUUCACAGAGCUGCCAACGCAGAACCCUGAAGAGGAACUAGUGUUCAGGCUCAUUUAUCUGGAUUUCUUUAUGCCAUCCAUGGGGUGGGGCAUUCUGGGAAACUCAAGUGGGCCGUCAGCACACCUUGGGUGCAGUUGUUCGUGUAUGACUUGGUGCCCCAUAAACAUUUGUUGAAUGGGUGCAUAACCCUGCUUUCACUUCUGUGGCACAGACAGUGAUUUUCAAGGCAGGAAAACUGGGAAUCAUCCUAGAAUUUCUUCCUUUCCCCCAGCUCCAAUCUAUUUGCAAAUUCUGUCAGCUGCACCGCCAAAACAUUAACAGACGCUGAGUCCAUCCCCUUCUUCCCAGCUUCUCGGCUCCCCCUCUGUCCCAGGGCCUGUCAUCUCUCACCCGGGCCACCACAGUGACCUCUUCACUCGCCUCGCUGCUUUGCCUCUCUAAUCCACACUCCAGGUAGGGGCCAAAGUGAUCGACUUCAAAUGUAAAUCAGAUGCCAUGGCCUCCCUGGUUGAAUUUCUCAUUGGCUUUCCAUCAUACGGAGAAGGAAACCCUAAACCUCCAAUCGUGGCCAUAUGAGGUCCUGCAUGCUUGUCUUCUCUUUGGCUUCAUUCUCACCACCUCCCCUGGGCUCCCUCCCUCCAGUCCCACUGGCACCUCCCAAAUGCCAAGCUUUUCUCACCACAGGGCCCUUGCCCAUGCUGUUCCUUCUACUGGAAAACUCUCCACUCUUUAAAUAGCUGGGUCUUUCUUAUAGGUCAGAUAUCAGCUGGAAUAUCACCUAUUUGGAGAGGUUCUUCCUGCCUCCCCUUUUGUUCCCUUCACAGAAAAUCAUGACCAUUUGUAAAUACUUUGUCUGUUUUCUUAUUGCAUUUGCCUUCCCUCCUAGACUUGAGAUGUCCAAUAUGAAGCUACCAGCCACACAUGGCUGUUAAGCAUUUGACACGUGGCUAGUCUGAACUGAGAUGUGCUCAAAGUGUAAAAUGCGCACUGGAUUUUAAAGUCUUCAUACAAUAAAAAGCAUGUAAGAUAUGUCGAUAAUUUUUAAAUAAUGGCUACAUGUUGAAGUGAUAAUAUUUUGGAUAUAUUGGG
rnacentral:lncRNA from 1 species